AAGAAGCUGCACGCACUUCGUUUACAGCGUCACGGCGCCCUAAAUCAAAGAGCGGUCCAUUAGGGCCUCCAGGACUUGCGUAUUACUCCUUGUAUUCUCCUGCUGUACCUAUGGUUCACGGUGGGAACAGAGGCUGUUUAACAUCAACCUCUCCGUUUUCAGCUCGUGUGUUGCCGCAUAACGGCUCUACUGCAUUUCCUCAAAAAACCGAUCAUUGUAUGGCUAGGUCUGUUAGCAUCCAUGGCUGCUCUCAAACUCUUGCGCCACAAGGUAUUAAACAGAGAUCGAAUGAAUUUAUGUAAAUGAACUACUGUCGAGUAUUGAAUGUAAUCAAAAUCUGUGUACAGAUGACAUACAUGAAAGUAUUAAGGAUGCGGCUGGUGAUGCUCGAGCUGUCUCAAGAAGGGAUAUGGCGACACAGAUGAGUCCAGAGGGAAGCAUCCGUUUAUCUCCUGAGAGAGAGUGUUCGUUAUCUUCCUUCUCUCCGACAGCAAGAUCAAUUGUGGAACUACUGAAUGCUCGUGUCAACAGAGCAGAAGCGAAGGAUUUACAGGUUGAUGAGAAGGUGACUGUAACUCGGUGGUCAAAGAGGCAUAGAAGUUUGUACCAUGGAGAUAGCUCAAACAUGCGAGACCACUUGCAUGGACAAGACAGGGAUCCUCAAGGCUUGACAUGGUAUGUUCUAAGUUGUCAAAGUCUUAUAAAUUUUCCUUCAAAUGCACAUGACUUAGAAUUUGGAGUUGGUAUUGAAAGGUUUAUACUUUUGUAGGGUAAAGACCGAGGAAGCCAGAAUCAUAUCUUGGCAAAAUUUGCAGAAAGCUAAGGCGGAGGCAGAAAUAAGAAAGCUUGAGGUUUUUUUCUUUCAUCUUGUUUCACUUUUUUUACCUGAAGCGCUAGGUCUUCAACCAUAAGAACACUUUCAACAUGGUGUAGUCAUUGAUUGAGUGCAUGGCCUGGUCGAAACCGUAGACGGUUUAGUAAAGAUUUCAAUAAAUUUUUUUUUACAAAUUUAGGGGCUUAUUUCUAUGUAAUUUUCUUUAAAAAUUAUGGAGAUUAGAGGGAGUGUUUCGUUUGGCUUUGCCUAGGACCGGCCUGCUUGAGUGUAUCUAAAACACCCCAACCCGUGAAUCUUUGAAAACACGUGAAAAUUUCUAAGUAAAAGAUCGAGUCAAAUUUUUACCGGAUGAACAUGAGAAAUACCGCAACUUUAUAAAUGAAACCCGAUACUAAGUAUUAAAAAUCAUGUAGUUUACAAUAAAAUAUCUUUUACAAAACCUCUCAACAUUAUCUACGUUUAAAACACCCUUGCCGAUGGUCUUUAUAGCCUCGCGCUCCGGUCUACAUAACCAACCUUACCUGCAUCGCAAAAGGAGGCAUGAGCAUACAAAAGUACUCAGUGAGGACGCUCAAUACCACUCACUAUAGCCCAAUAAUCAAACACUCAAUCAAUACUAACACCCUAGCAUCCAGUUCUAUCAUUCCUUUACUUAACUAGUUCCAUUACUUUAACAUUUCUUAACCUUUCGACCCGAAAGUCCAUAAUCCUGCGGCCAAAGCCAACCUGCGGCCGAAGCCAAACCUGCGGCCGUAGCCAACCUGUGACCCGUCGGUCCAUUACAUUCCCUUAACCUUUUUCCUUAACCUUUGUCCUUAACCUUUUCCUUAUAUUACAUUUCAAUUAUUCUUUCCUUAAACGCAUUAUAAUUUCCUGACCUAGGUUCUCAAGAUCAAACGUUCAUUUCUCACAUAAACAUCCUAACAUAACUCGAUAAUCCAUAGCAUGCAUUUUUCAAGAACACGAUGAACGAACUUUCCUUAAUCAAUUCCUAUCAUACAUUUCUUAAGAAAACGAAUAACGAUCUUUCCUUAAACGAAUUCUAUCAAACAUUUUCCUAUGAACACGAUGAACAAACUUUCCAUAAACGAAUUCUAUCCAAUCAUACACACGUUCUUACUGAAUCAAACUAGAAAAAAAUAAUUCUUAUUGGACUGCCACGAAUCACGUCCUCACCUGUAUUGCGGUGGGAACAGAGGCUGUUUAACAUCAACCUCUCCGUUUUCAGCUCGUGUGUUGCCGCAUAACGGCUCUACUGCAUUUCCUCAAAAAACCGAUCAUUGUAUGGCUAGGUCUGUUAGCAUCCAUGGCUGCUCUCAAACUCUUGCGCCACAA
rnacentral:lncRNA from 1 species